CUAUGGCUUUAUGAUAUAAAAAUAUGAAUUUGGAGCAAAGGUCAAAAUCUAGAACGUCCAAUUAACCUAUGACCUUGACCUCAAUUUCAAGGUCAUAAACCAAGGAUCCCAAAUCAAAAGACCCUAGUUUGUAUUAUGUAUGGUUCAUGAGUAAUAUCACUUUACGCAUAAUUCUAAAUAUAAGAGGGGCAAAAACUCCCAUUUUAUUGUCUACGCACCCUUCCAAUCAAAAUUUAUAAGUUAC
rnacentral:lncRNA from 1 species